CUUCCCAGCCGGGUCUUUUGCUUUGGCGGUGGUGGCUGCAGCGCCGGUCUUCCCCAGCAUCCGCGGCGCGCUGGGAAUCCGCUGCGGAAUGGUGUGGUGGCUCGAUUCUCCCAGUGCCUGGCUGAGUUUCGGACGUGGUUAAGAACCAACUGGUUGAGGUUCAAUGCAGACAAGACGGAUGUGAUGCUGAAAAUGUGCAUCAGAUGUUUAUGUUUAAUUGGUUUACAGACUGUCUGUGGACUCUUUUCCUGUCAAAUUACCAGCCAUCUGUUGCGUCUUCAAGUCCAGGAGGUUCAGCAACAUCAGAUGACCAUGAAUUUGAUCCAUCAGCUGACAUGCUGGUUCAUGAUUUUGAUGAUGAACGAACAUUAGAAGAGGAAGAAAUGAUGGAAGGAGAAACAAACUUCAGUUCUGAAAUAGAGGAUCUUGCAAGGGAAGGCGUCAUGCCAAUCCAUGAACUUCUCAGCCUUUAUGGUUAUGAUAGUACUGUUCCACUACCUGAAGAAGAUGAGGAGGAGGAGGAAGAGGAGGAAGAAGGUGAAGAUGAUGAAGAUGCUGAUAAUGAUGAUAACAGUGGCUGUAGUGGGGAAAAUAAAGAAGAGAAUAUAAAAGAUUCCUCAGGUCAAGAGGAUGAAACUCAGUCUUCCAAUGAUGAUCCAUCACAAUCUGUUGCUUCUCAAGAUGCCCAGGAAAUAAUCCGUCCUCGUCGAUGUAAAUAUUUUGAUACAAACAGUGAAAUAGAAGAAGAAUCUGAAGAAGAUGAAGAUUAUAUACCAUCAGAAGACUGGAAAAAGGAGAUUAUGGUGGGCUCCAUGUUCCAAGCAGAGAUUCCAGUUGGCAUUUGUAGAUACAAAGAAAAUGAAAAAGUAUAUGAAAAUGAUGAUCAGCUCCUGUGGGACCCUGAGUACUUACCAGAAGACAGAGUGAUUGUAUUUCUUAAGGAUGCAUCUAGAAGAACAGGUGAUGAGAAAGGUGUAGAAGCAAUUCCUGAAGGAUCUCACAUAAAAGACAAUGAACAGGCAUUAUAUGAAUUAGUUAAAUGCAAUUUUGAUACAGAAGAAGCAUUGAGAAGAUUAAGAUUUAAUGUAAAAGCAGCUAGAGAGGAAUUAUCUGUUUGGACAGAGGAAGAGUGUAGAAAUUUUGAGCAAGGGUUGAAGGCCUAUGGAAAGGACUUUCAUUUGAUUCAGGCUAAUAAAGUUCGAACAAGGUCAGUUGGUGAAUGUGUAGCCUUCUAUUAUAUGUGGAAAAAAUCUGAACGUUACGAUUUCUUUGCUCAGCAAACACGAUUUGGAAAGAAGAAAUAUAAUCUUCAUCCUGGUGUAACAAAUAAUGUUCACACACGAGCUACAGGCAAUCUGUCGUCAUCAGCAGUAAGAACAUAAGAAUUGCCAUGCUGGGUCAGACCCAUGGUUCAUCCAGUUUUCUCUUUCAGAAAGCAUCACCAAGGGAAGUGUUGUGGGCUGGCUUAGUUGGUCCUCUGUGAUGUCAAGCUCAACAGGUUAGGUAGGGAUGUGCUGCCAAACAGUUUUUCUAAUAAUCUCUCCAUAGCUUGAAAUUUUUUCGAAGAUACUUGUACCUGUAACCUUGAUUCUUCUGAAGGUUAAAGUAUUUUGUAUGUGGAAAAGCCAAAGUUAAAAGUAAUCCCGUAUCUUCUCUUUUCUCAGGCUUUAAGAGUUAACAAUAUGUCCCCUGGUGUUACGGUAUGAAGUGAACAAAUGUUUUCCCCCGUAGAUAUAGGUUUCAGCUAUAUCCCCCUCUGGGUCUUUUAUAAAGUUUUUUUAUUAAUUGAAAGAAGUAGAAUUUUUUACUCCUAGUCAUCCCUUUGAGCCAUGUUAUAUCUCCUAUAAGAAGCCACGACCAGACUGUGUAUUAUUUCCUGAUGGGGAAAAAUUGUGGUUUUCUGUAGGCACAGAGAUAUUCUAGUUCAUUUCCAGGGCCUUCUCUUACUGUUAAUAGUUGUGCUUUAAGUGACCAUGGAAAGAAUUAAGUUAAUGCCUUUAGACAAAAAUUUGAAUGAAUUUUAAAUCUUCCUUUUUAGUCGUAAUCCACAGUUAAGAGCAAAUUAUCCUGGAAGUUAUUUGUUCAUUUUUCUAUUACAUUGUUACCUUCCAUUUGUUCAUCAGAAUGAAGCACAUUUGCCACCUUUCUGCCUAUAAAAGGCCUUUGAAAGAUCCUACUGUGAUUCUCUUUAUUCACUACUUGGAAGAAUUGGUAGCCAUGCACAAAUUGGAGAUUUUGCUCUUAAGAGCCUUGCAGAUAGUUGUGGGGGUUUUUUUGUUUGUUUUUUUGUUUUUUGUUUUUGUUUUUUGGUUUUUUUAAGAGUAAAAAUUAACUCAGCGUAAUUCUGACUAUCUGAAUACUACACCAACCCUCAUGGAUGGUUUCUCUGACUCCUCAUUCUGAAUGCUGUUAGCCUUUAAGAAACAAUAGUAAUGAUUCUUUGAUAAUAUCACUGUUAUAUUGAGACAUUUAAAAUAAUGUUGAUAUGUAGUCAGUUAUAACUCCCUUGCUUGGCUCCAUUAUCCAUUCCCACUAUGCCAGAUUUAUUUCCAACAAGUCCUUCUCAGGCAUCAUUUGUUCCUAUUAACUUUAGCUUUUGCAGUCCUUUGGUAUUGCAUUCAUCAUGUUUGUCCUGUUUCUGUGUGCUUCGGAUUUACUACCUAUUUGUUCUAUAAUGAUGAAUGACAUAAAGCUGAAGAGGUCUUUAAAAGACCAUCAGACUUAAUUCCCACCAUUUAUAGAUGAGGAAAGUAAGGCCUAGAAUUUUAUUUUAUUUUAUUUUAUUUUUUUAGGGCCGCAGCCACGGCAAGUGGUGGUUCCCAGGCUAGGGGUCUAAUCGGAGCUGUAGCCGCCAGCCUACACUAGAGCCACAGCAACUCGGGAUCCAAGCCACGUCUGCAGCCUCCACCACAGCUCACGGCAACGCCAGAUCCUUAACCCACUGAGCGAGGCCAGGGAUUGAACCUACAACCUCAUGGUUCCUAGUCGGAUUCAUUAACCACUGAGCCAUGAAGGGAACUCCUAGAAUUUUAUAUUGCUUAGCUUGCGGUCAUAAAUGUUUCUUUGAUAUGUGUUAGUUUUGUACCUCUGACCGUUAGAAUAUCCUUAAGGUCAGAUUCCAAAUCCCUGUAUUAUAAGCUACAUAUUUUUAUCUGUAGUUUUUGUAUAAACUACAGACUACUAUCUGUAGCUCUGUAUAAACUACAUGUUUAUAAUAUACAUCCUUAUGUAUAAACUAUAAUGUGGUCAUGUUGCUCAGAGUAAAAACUACAGGUAAUAGUCUGUUGUAGAUUUUUUUUUUUUCUUUUGUCUGUUGUUGUUGUUGUUGUUGUUGUUGUUGUUGUUGUUGUUGCUAUUUCUUGGGCCGCUCCCGCGGCAUAUGGAGGUUCCCAGGCUAGGGGUCGAAUCUGAGCUGUAGCCACUGGCCUACGCCAGAGCCACAGCAACGCGGGAUCCGAGCCGCGUCUGCAACCUACACCACAGCUCAUGGCAACGCCGGAUCGUUAACCCACUGAGCAAGGGCAGGGACCGCAACCUCAUGGUUCCUAGUCGGAUUCGUUAACCACUGCGCCACGACGGGAACUCCUGUUGUAGAUUUUUACCACAGACUUUUCAGAAAAGUCCUAAGCCCUUCCAUGAUUUCUUUCUUAUCCACAUUCUUAAUUACCCUGCUCACAAAAUUCUAAAAGGUUUAUUUCCUUUAUACUUAUUCCAAGAGAAUUUUUAAAUAAGUAAUAUAGCCAAGUUUUUUUUUUACACUUGUACUCUGUACCAUGCACAACUUGGGCAUGAGUGGUGCAGUGGUAAAGCAGACUAAAUUCCCUGCUUUCAGAGAAUUAUUCUAGCACAGGUGACAGAAGACUUUUUCUGUAAGAGCUAGAAAGUAAAUAUCUUAGGCUUUGGAAGCCUUAAGGUCUCUUGCAACUACUUAGCUCUGCUGUUGUUUUGCAGAAACAGUUAUAGACACUGUGUAAAUGAAUGGAUGUUGUGUUGCCGUGUUCGGUAAAAUAUUAUCCACAGGAACAGGUGGCCAGCCCACAGGCCAUAGUUUGCCAAACUUCAUUCCAGUGACUUAAUAGCAACUUUAUAAUUUAUAAAAUACUUUGCUACAUUUAUCUUAUCCAAUGACCCUCUGUGGUAGAUAGGUCAUUUAUGAUUACAUGUACUUUAUAGGUAAAGACACUAAACCUCAAAAGAGAAGUACUAUCUUUUAAUCUCAACUCAGUGUCACUAAUCUUGUCUUUGGUGUCAUAUAUAUAGUUCAGGAAUGACUUAGGGAAGAAGUGAGCUCUCUUCUAACAAUAUACUGGCAGAUAAUUGCUUGACUUACCAUAUUUAGCUCAGAUCUAGCAGGAAGGUAAUAUAGAAGGUAACCAGGAAAUUUCAGGAAGGCAAUUCAUUGUUAGGUCCUAAUUUGUCUCUCAGGUACUGCCAUAGCCAUCAAAUAGUGUUUAGGAACUUGAUAAUUCCAAUCUGUGUCUGUUCAGAAUUCUUUUGUACUCCUUCUGAGUGACAUCAUUCCUGUCUCUUCACUUACAGUUUCUCUGUUUGUAGUUGGGCCACUCUGAUCACUUGCGUAGUUUUAAAAAAAUUUAAAACUUCCUGUAGGUCUUUAAAAUUUGCUAGCAUAAAGCCUUUACACAUUUUUCCACAAACAUGUAACCAGAAGGACCUUUCCAUUUAAAUGUUCAGAUCCUGGUGUCAUAGAUGAGGCACUGGAAUGAAUGUAAGUGAAAAUUAGGAUACAUGUGCUAAUCAAGUCUUGUACAUUUAACCUCGGUCACUUUUAAUUUUCAGCUGUUUUGAACAUAAGAAAGUAAUUUUUAUUAUUUCACUCACUUUUAAGGGAUUACAUGGAUCGUCUUCUAGAUGAAAGUGAAAGUGCUGCUUCUAGUCGCGCACCAUCCCCUCCUCCAACUGCCUCAAACAGUAGUAACAGCCAGUCGGAAAAAGAAGAUGGCACUAUAAGCAAUAGUAAUCAAAAUGGGGUGUCAUCUAAUGGACCAGGUGAAGUGUUAAACAAAGAAGAAGUGAAAGUUGAAGGGUUGCACAUUAAUGGACCAACAGGUGGAAAUAAGAAACCACUUCACACAGAUAUGGAUACUAAUGGUUAUGAAACAGAUAACCUUACCAGUGACCCAAAACUUGCCCUUAUGACUACAAGAAAUGAAAAUGAUUUUGAUGAAAAAAGUGAGAGACCUGCCAAAAGGCGAAGGGUAAACAGCAAUGGAAAAGAAAGUCCAGGUUCUUCUGAAUUUUUCCAAGAUGCAAUUUCACAUGGAAAGUUUGAAGAACUUGAGAACACGGAUGACUAAAUUUUAGACUUAUUUUACUUUCUUUGGAGUAAAUUCUGGUGUGACUAAAAUUUUCAGGGUUGAGGGGUUACCUUAAAAAGUUGAUUUCCUUGAAGCAGUUGGUGAAAAUUUGAAAAUUUGAAUUGAGAUCCUAACUUUAGUAACUAAGAUUUCAUAAUUCUGCCUUUUGCAGAUUUUUUUACUUUAAAAUUGUAAAGACCCUUUUAAUGAUAUAACAGUUUACUAAAUUUGAAUGAACUAAAGCAAUAUCUGUACCUUCUUAUUUGAUAUAUUAAUUCUAAAAUUCCACUACAAGGUACUUUUUGUUAGUUUGAUGAUAGAGAAGAGAAAACCAAGUUCAAAUUUGAUUAACACCAAUUUUUCUGAGUUUCUGAAAAUGUCUUUUAUAACAGACAUUUUUCUCUCCAUACAAAUUAAGUACCAUUAUUGAGGAAACCCGUAUGAAUCCUGAAAGUUAUGCUAGCAUGAUUUUUUUAUAUAUAGAAGUUUAAAAAUAAACCAAGUCAGGUUUGAUAUGUAAAAUUGUUGACAUCAAUGAUGUCUUUCCAUAUUCUUAUCUGGGCUUAAGAAAUACAUUCUGUAUUUUUCCAGAUUCUUUGUAGCCUUUGAAAGAUUUCUACAGUACAUAUGUCUUGACUGAGCUGUCCUUUAAUACAAAAGCUUGUAUAAUUUUCUUAACUUGUACAGUUGGUAAACUUUUAUGGGAGAAAUUGAUAUUCUGAAUCUCUCAGCUUUCAUUUUAUUUUGCUAAGGUUUUUCUAAUGAAUUUUUAAGUGUUUGUGUAGUAACUAAGUCAUGUUUCUUAUCCAGGUGGUAAAAGCAUUCAUAAAGGAUUGUGAACAUUUGUUUUUUUCAAAUUCCUACUUAAGGACACAUAGCUUGAGAAUUCUGAAAUUAAGCAUGGUACUUAGAUCGCAUAGUUUGUUUUACAUUUGCUAUGAUUUUCAAAAUUAUUUUUGAAGCAAGACAAAAGUUUAAUGUUGGCUUAAGUGCUUAAAUGUAUCAUGCUGACCAGAAUCCUGUUCAGUUAUUUUUGUAUGCAUUAUGAAGUUUCCCAUUUUUUGCAUUAAAUAAACAGGGGAAAAGGUCGAGUGAUAGUUAGAAAAGUUUUUAGAUUUUUUUUCAUUUACAGUCCAGGUUUUCCAAUUUGAUAAUGUAUUUCCAAAAUGAAAAUAAGAUAUGCAGUAAACCAUCACCCUGUGUGAUUACAAACGAGAUCAUCCAUUUGCAUAGCCUUGCAAGAGUGCCAUUUUAUUUUUAGUGCAAAAUUCUUGUUAAAAAUUGUAGUUUUAUAAAGCUGAUAGACCAACCUAUAUCCAAACUUUUAUAAAAGAUUAUUAACUAUUCUUGUUUUAUCACACAGGCAUACCCCAGAUGCUUCUGCCAAUUCAUUUGCAGCCAUCAGAGAGCCACUGCCUUUUUAAAAUAAAUCUUCUGUGGUCUUGUUUUUAAUGGCUCAACUGUCUGAUGUAAUUGAGUAGAGGUUUGCACUGAGAGACUGUGGUUUAGGCCUUACCCCCAUGAAGUAUUACUGUUAGCCUCUGUUCGUUCAGACUGCUUCCCUCCACCAAUGUGAACAACUUUUUUUCCCCAAACAGUGUUAAAAGCCACUUUCCAGCACUUGACUUCCUAUGAUGUAGAUUCACUGUUGUAACAUACAUAUCCAUAGUAAAUAUCCAGGUAAAUCCAAAUUUAGGGUGGAAGUGUUGAGAAGCGUGAAUUUUUUUGUUUUGUUUUAUGACAUUAUCCAGAAUGGCAGCUUUAGCAGAUGGUCACAAUCCAUUUUCUAAAUCAGACUUUAUUAUACAAGUCCAAAGUAUCCUAGCUCUUUGUCAAAGAUAGUCUAUAGAAAUAUUUCAAACAAAUAGUGAUGCUGUACUUUUUUAAAAAAUUGUUGCAAUAUUAGAGAUGCCAUUUUCACCUUUUUUAAAAGAUGCAUUUUGUUUGCAGGUUUGUGAAGUUCUUGCAAACUGAUACUACAAGACAACAUUUUAAAUAAAUUCUCAGGCAUGUUUGCAAAUACGGCACAUGUUGUAUACAUAUUAGGAAAUUUUACUUUUCUUAAUCUUUUUAAAGUAUGCCUAAUGAAAGACAUUCCACUAUUAUAAUACAUAAUGCUCAGCUUUUCAUAAAGAAAUAUUUAAUUGUUUAUACAGGUAUUUCACACAGUACUUUGUUCUUUACAAUACAGCCACUAUAACUUGAUAAGUCAUUGCACUACUUUAAAAUUUUUAGUAAUAUCAUGAACUUAAUUUGCUUAAGAUUUAGUACAUUUCGUAACUCUUGACAAAUUGCAUUGGGAAAGGGAGCCUUUGUUAAUAGUUACUGAGUCUCCCUCACUCCACGCCUACCCCAGCAGAGCACUCUAUUCAUUUGGAAUGGUUUUCUGUUUAUGAUAUGUUUGUUUUCAAAUAAAGUUCAAAAUCUACAACUCAGUUCAACACAAAUCUGUUGAGCUUUAAAGUGUAUUUGAAGUAAUAUUUAAAUAGGCAUUUAAAAUUACGAAUUAGAUGUUUUUAAAUUUAUGCAUAGUAAUUUUGCACUGUAAAAUAAUUCCUUUCCCCAUUCCCUCUCUGCCAUUCUGAAUAUGCUUAUUAAAAUAUUUUUUAAACGUAUUUGUUUAAAUAAUGCUGUGUGAAUGAUUUUACUAGAUUGAGUAGGUUUUAAUUAUAAUUUUAAGUUUAUAUGAUGCACAUUGUUUACAUUGCAAAUAUAUACACUCUCUUCCUUCUGCUCCUAGACAAAUUGCAUGCAGUAGUGUUUCAGUGGCUUCUGACCCUUUUUACCUCAUCAUAAAUGAUGUAUUUAUUUAUGGUCUUUUUUUUUUUUUCUCCAGAGAGAUCCUUUGUCUGUGGGACUCUGUUCACUUAUUUCUCUUCCUCUGAAUUAUAUAUAUAAUUAAAAACAUUUUGUUUACUUC